rnacentral:lncRNA from 1 species
UUUUUCGCUGCUUUGACUUUGGAAUGUCCUUUGUCGUCUUCCGUAGUUUCCCAGAAGACAACUGCGUUUAUUUGUUGUCAUAGCAACGUAGGAACUUGAAAGCCCUCGUAAUGUAUGAGGGGUUUCUUUCUCACUCCAGCGUAAAAAGAGGGAUGUCCGCUGAAGCGCGAGAGCACGAGCCUCUUCCGGUGAAGCCUUCCCGCUCCACGGUGGAUUUCAAAGAUCCUGACAUUCAUCACAGACAAAGGGAUGUAAAGAAACCCAGACGAGCGUCUGGUCAAAGACGGUGGUUCCUGGGUUUGGAGACCGAGUCCGAGUUGGUUUGGGAGGAUUGGGAGCCAGGCGGAAAGUUCACAAAGUCACUGGUGUUGAGGAACGUCCGCAACAAGCUGCACAAACUAAGCAUAAGACCUCCAGAAUCCGGGUUUUUCCAAACCUUUGUUCCUCACACGGUUCUUCUAAGUCCUGGGAUUUCUUACUCCAUUCCGGUCACUUUCAGACCUCUUCAGAAAGUGAGACAUUCCAGCAAUUAUAUCCUUAACGUCCUGACAAUUAGAGAAAAAAUAUGUUUUGUCAAUUUCUUCUUUAUUGACCAAAACUACAAUUUAUAUUUCAUUUCAUUUCAUUUUAUUUAUUUAUUUCAUUUUCAAGCACACAUAAGAAGUUUUACC